UACAGAGGUCUCAAGCGUUGUUCGGAUUUAUUGGGCGUAAAGGGCGCGUAGGCGGCGGGGUAAGUCGGGUGUGAAAUCUCAGGGCUCAACCCUGAAACUGCACUUGAUACUGCUCUGCUUGAGGACUGGAGAGGAGACUGGAAUUCACGGUGUAGCAGUGAAAUGCGUAGAUAUCGUGAGGAAGACCAGUGGCGAAGGCGGGUCUCUGGACAGUUCCUGACGCUGGGGCGCGAAAGCGUGGGGAGCAAACAGG
rnacentral:rRNA from 1 species